rnacentral:rRNA from 1 species
UUUAAUGAGAGUUUGAUCCUGGCUCAGGACGAACGCUGGCGGCGUGCCUAAUACAUGCAAGUAGAACGCUGAGGUUUGGUGUUUACACUAGACUGAUGAGUUGCGAACGGGUGAGUAACGCGUAGGUAACCUGCCUCAUAGCGGGGGAUAACUAUUGGAAACGAUAGCUAAUACCGCAUAAGAGUAAUUAACACAUGUUGGUUAUUUAAAAGGAGCAAUUGCUUCACUGUGAGAUGGACCUGCGUUGUAUUAGCUAGUUGGUGAGGUAAAGGCUCACCAAGGCGACGAUACAU